AGUUAAGUAAUAAAAGCUAAGAGUCCCUCUAAGAGGAAGUGAAGCUCAGCUGCAAAGACGACUCUGAGACCAGACCAGCUGCCUGGAAGAAGCAGAAACCAGCUGAGCUGCCUGGAAGAGGUUUAGACCAACUGAGGCACCUGGAAAGGACACUCUCCAACCUGUUGCACUGUCUCUAGGCUGUGUAGUGUUCUCCAGAUUCCCAGCUCUAUGAACUGUCACACACGCUGGGGUUGACCUUGGCGAUGCUGCUGUCUUUGAAUCGUAAAAGUGGCCAUAACCUCUCACCCAUAUUCCUGUAAGUAACCCCAAUAAAACUCAUGGUUCAAAGUUGGACUUUGGUGAUAUCCAAUCUUUGGUCUGGGGUGAGUAAACAUGUGCGUUGUGUCUCCCCAGGAAUAGCUCUGUCAUACAACAGGUAUCUAAGAAAGAAUGUAUGGAUUCCAGGAUGUUAGAAGGUGUUCUUCUGGAUUUGAGGGUUCAUGUACAAAUGGUUUCUUCAAAGACCCUGGGAAAGACACCUGCUGGGGAUUCUCUAAAGUGCCCAAACCUAAGUGGACAUCGCAAAGACGUGCCAAGGAAGAAAGAAUCCUAAAGGAUGGGGGUGACUCAGGAUAGACAGACAUGACCUGGAGCAGAAAGGGAUGCUAUGCAAGAAAUGGAGAUGGCGAAGUCAAGGCUGGAAAGCUCAUAGCAAAAGCUGGGGAAGUGGUAGGAUUCCAAUUCAGUUCUGUUUUAAUCUGAAGUUUAUAUUCUAAAAUGUAACUCUACACUGCCUGG